UUUUUCCAUAUUAGGAUGGAAAAUUACAUAUAGCCAUAUAUAGACAUGGCUUGAAGGGCUUUUCAAUUAAUUCAGAGGUAGAUAUACUCUGAAAUAUUUUACAUAUAAGAAACACACGCUAAGGCUAAGCGCUUACAUAAUUACUAAUUAAGACACUGAUAGCAGUACUGGUGGUCUGCUGGCUGUCAAAUUUAUUUAGUGUAAUAGUAGCAGCACUGCACCCAGCACGCACAUUAUUUAUUUUUGACAGCCUCACCAUUCAUCUCUU
rnacentral:lncRNA from 1 species